GACGAACGCUGGCGGCGUGCUUAACACAUGCAAGUCGAACGGAAAGGCCCUGCUUUUGUGGGGUGCUCGAGUGGCGAACGGGUGAGUAACACGUGAGUAACCUGCCCUUGACUUUGGGAUAACUUCAGGAAACUGGGGCUAAUACCGGAUAGGAGCUCCUGCUGCAUGGUGGGGGUUGGAAAGUUUCGGCGGUUGGGGAUGGACUCGCGGCUUAUCAGCUUGUUGGUGGGGUAGUGGCUUACCAAGGCUUUGACGGGUAGCCGGCCUGAGAGGGUGACCGGCCACAUUGGGACUGAGAUACGGCCCAGACUCCUACGGGAGGCAGCAGGGGGGAAUAUUGAACAAUGGGCGGAAGCCUGAUGCAGCAACGCCGCGUGCGGGAUGACGGCCUUCGGGUUGUAAACCGCUUUCGCCUGUGACGAAGCGUGAGUGACGGUAAUGGGUAAAGAAGCACCGGCUAACUACGUG
rnacentral:rRNA from 1 species